UUCGCGGUUUUCAGCCAUUUUCUCCCCAUUUCUACCCUACCUCCACCCAUACCAACCUCCAGCAAGAUCCCCUUGACCCCCGAGAGCCGCCGGUUGCCAACCACCCGCUCGCCGGAGCUCCGAUCAGCCCGUUUUCGCCGUUGAAGUUGCUGGUUUCUUCUCUGCUGUUCAGUCCAGAUCAGAAGCAGAAGACAGCAAGGUUUUGGAGACUUCGUGG
rnacentral:lncRNA from 1 species